UUAACGAGUAACCAAUCAGAGGGGCAAGGUCUGGUGCCAGCAGCCGCGGUAAUUCCAGCUCUGAUAGCGUAUAUUAAAGUUGUUGCAGUUAAAAAGCUCGUAGUUGGAUUUUAGGAUAUAUUGAUAUGGUCUCUUGUGAUAAACUUGUUGUACUGUAUCGAUUGUCCUUUCCUACUGGUUACUCGACUCUGUUCUUUAUUGCAUGGAGUAGUGUCGCAAGGCAUCGCUUAGUAUUUUAUUGCUUUUAGAUGUAGUAAUUGGGUAAAACUGGUUAUGAAACCUAAGGGAUCACAGUAAAGUAUUAAGUGGGGUUCCAGUUCAUUUACUUUGAGUAAAUUAGAGUGUUCAAAGCAGCCUGUAUGGGCAUUGAAUAGAUUAGCAUGGGAUAAUAGAAUAGGAUUCUUACCUAUUUAUUGGUUUAUAGGUUUAGAAUAAUGAUUAAUAGGGAUAGUUGGGG
rnacentral:rRNA from 1 species